UACUGCUUUCCUGCCAGGGUCAAGAGGGCUUUUUUUCAAGUAGCAGACAGUGAAGGAGUCUGGAGGAGACUGUCAUGUACAGUAAAAGAAAGAGGUGGUCUCGGGUAAGGAGCCUGUGGUUAUGUGCUGACCUGGCAGAGUAAGCAGGGAAGAGUGGGCUACCUACAGCAAUUUGAUAGAGGAGCAGGAAUGGCUGCAGAAGAGGAACGUGCUGGUGCGUUCAUCCUGGAAGUAGUCAGGGCCCCUGUUUGUUCCCAGUGAAAUGGUAUGGCAGUCACACUGUAGGCAUCCCAUUGGGCUGCCAGGCAGACUCGGAACUCAACAUCAUGGAUAAAAGCAGGAAUAAAAGAAACAGGCUCAUGCUUGUACAAAACCAGCUUAGCACAAGGAAGGUGUCAGCAGCCAUUGGUCUACCUAGAAGAGCAAAGACAGCUGCUGGGCAUGUGAGCAGUUUGGCUGUACCCUCCCAGGAAACUGAACUCUUGAAGGCUGCUUGCCCUAGUGUGCAGCACUUGGUCUGCUGUGGGGCCCUACC